UACAGAGGUCUCAAGCGUUGCUCGGAAUCACUGGGCGUAAAGCGCGUGUAGGCGGUCCGGUAAGUCCGCUGUGAAAGUCGAGGGCUCAACCCUCGAAUGCCGGUGGAUACUGUCGGGCUUGAGUACGGGAGAGGCGAGUGGAAUUCCUGGUGUAGCGGUGAAAUGCGCAGAUAUCAGGAGGAACACCGAUUGCGAAGGCAGCUCGCUGGAACGUUACUGACGCUGAGACGCGAAAGCGUGGGGAGCAAACAGG
rnacentral:rRNA from 1 species